rnacentral:tRNA from 1 species
GGGGGAAUUCCCGAGCGGCCAAAGGGGUCAGACUGUAAAUCUGAUGGUUCUGCCUUCGCAGGUUCGAAUCCUGCUUCCCCCACCA